UACGUAGGGUGCAAGCGUUGUCCGGAAUUAUUGGGCGUAAAGAGCUCGUAGGCGGUUUGUCGCGUCUGCUGUGAAAACCUAAGGCUCAACCUUGGGCUUGCAGUGGGUACGGGCAGACUAGAGUGCGGUAGGGGUGACUGGAAUUCCUGGUGUAGCGGUGGAAUGCACAGAUAUCAGGAGGAACACCGAUGGCGAAGGCAGGUCACUGGGCCGCAACUGACGCUGAGGAGCGAAAGCAUGGGGAGCGAACAGG
rnacentral:rRNA from 1 species